rnacentral:misc_RNA from 1 species
GGACGAGGACAUCAUUUAUGUUGUCCAUUUGGUACAGUUUUGAAAACAAGACGAGCUCAGGCUUCUGUUUCUAACUUUCUAGUCGAACUUUGAUCACCCCACCACCCAAAGAUUUAUGAAUCAAAUGAAUAGAUGUGAGAUAACGACACUCGGGGCUACCAACUUCAAACGAGCGUGGAAAUACCAAUGGCUGGACAUCAAAGAUUAUUCACAAAUCAUUCAGCCAUCUGCCUCUGUUGUUUCUGUGUCAUCCCCCGUCAGUCAGUCCAUAUAAAUUCCAUUCCAUUCCAUCCCCAUCCGAGUCCCCCAUGCCAAGAAUGAAUGCUUUCCCACAUUUCAUACUUUCUCAUCCACUUGUAUGUAUCAUAAAGAAAUCCAAGACGCUGAUGGUUCAAAUUAAGCCAUUUCCAUUUUGCUGCACUAUGUUAAUUAACUUCCAAAAAGAGCAGAAAAUGAAUAUGAUAACUAAUCACCAGCCAACGAGGUCAGUUUCGUCACUCGUUUAAAAGGAGAAGAGACUGGAGCAUGUUAUAGCCACUGCUGCCAUGGAGAAAAUUUGUCAAGGGGAUUCUGGAGGAGAAGAAAUGUCUGAAACUUCUGCAAGGGCUUCAAGCAUAUUUAUGACCUCAGUUGUGUCAUCUAAGUAAUACUUGGCCUUGCUUGGUUUCUGUCCAACUGUGCAGGCAAAAACUAAUGUAUUGGACGAGAGGGCGCCACUUGACACUGCAUUACCAAUGAUCUCAAACAUGUCUUCAUCAGAUCUA